ACCAAUGGCUCAAAGGGAUCUCCGCUACAUGUUGGUACAUAAUACUUCCUUUGUAAAUCAUCGGUUGUCCUCAUACUCCAUCCAGUAAUGGGCGCCACAUACUAAAGACCAUUUCAAUACCCCUUAUGGUAUGAGCAAAAUUAACCAACUCCCAACCCCAUCUGAUAUGGGACUUCCCAGUCCAGUACGGCUGAAAAUAAUAUUCAUGGUACGGUUUACCCUACGUACCAAAUUCGUACACUCUUUUUCAUGAAUACCUAAUAGGCGUUUAAGUCAUGU
rnacentral:lncRNA from 1 species